AAUCAACGCUGGCGGCGUGCCUCAGACAUGCAGGUCGAACGAGAAGUCCCCUUCGGGGGAGUGGACAGUGGCGCACGGGUGAGUAACACGUGGGUAAUUUACCUUUGGGUGGGGAACAACAGCCGGAAACGGCUGCUAAUACCGCAUAAUGCAGCGGCUCGACAUCGAGACAGUUGUUAAAGCGGGGGAUCGCAAGACCUCGCGCCUGAAGAGAAGCCCGCGGCAGAUUAGCUAGUUGGUAGGGUAAUGGCCUACCAAGGCGACGAUCUGUAACCGGCCUGAGAGGGCGGUCGGUCACACUGACACUGACAUACGGGUCAGACUCCUACGGGAGGCAGCAGUCGGGAAUUUUGGGCAAUGGGCGCAAGCCUGACCCAGCAACGCCGCGUGAAGGAUGAAG
rnacentral:rRNA from 1 species